rnacentral:rRNA from 1 species
UACGGAGGGUGCAAGCGUUGUUCGGAAUUAUUGGGCGUAAAGCGCGUGUAGGCGGCCUGGCAAGUCGGUUGUGAAAUCCCCGGGCUCAACCCGGGAACUGCGACCGAAACUGCCGAGCUCGAGUCCCGGAGAGGAGAGCAGAAUUCCCAGUGUAGGGGUGAAAUCCGUAGAUAUUGGGAGGAAUACCAGUUGCGAAGGCGGCUCUCUGGACGGUGACUGACGCUCAGACGCGAAAGCGUGGGGAGCAAACAGG